UUACGGGAGGCAGCAGUGGGGAAUUUUGGACAAUGGGGGCAACCCUGAUCCAGCCAUUCCGCGUGAGUGAAGAAGGCCUUCGGGUUGUAAAGCUCUUUCGGCAGGAACGAAAAGGCUCUCUCUAACAUAGGGAGUCAAUGACGGUACCUGAAGAAGAAGCACCGGCUAACUACGUGCCAGCAGCCGCGGUAAUACGUAGGGUGCGAGCGUUAAUCGGAAUUACUGGGCGUAAAGCGUGCGCAGGCGGUUUUGUAAGACAGAUGUGAAAUCCCCGGGCUUAACCUGGGAACUGCGUUUGUGACUGCAAGACUUGAGUGCGGCAGAGGGGGGUGGAAUUCCACGUGUAGCAGUGAAAUGCGUAGAGAUGUGGAGGAACACCGAUGGCGAAGGCAGCCCCCUGGGUCGACACUGACGCUCAUGCACGAAAGCGUGGGUAGCAAACAGGAUUAGAUACCCCGGU
rnacentral:rRNA from 1 species